GUGGGGAAUUUUGGACAAUGGGCGCAAGCCUGAUCCAGCAAUGCCGCGUGCAGGAAGAAGGCCUUCGGGUUGUAAACUGCUUUCGUACGGAACGAAACGGUCCUGGCUAAUAUCCGGGGCUAAUGACGGUACCGUAAGAAUAAGCACCGGCUAACUACGUGCCAGCAGCCGCGGUAAUACGUAGGGUGCGAGCGUUAAUCGGAAUUACUGGGCGUAAAGCGUGCGCAGGCGGUGCUGUAAGACAGGCGUGAAAUACCCGGGCUCAACCUGGGAAUUGCGCUUGUGACUGCAGUGCUGGAGUGCGGCAGAGGGGGAUGGAAUUCCGAGUGUAGCAGUGAAAUGCGUAGAUAUGCGGAGGAACACCGAUGGCGAAGGCAAUCCCCUGGGCCUGCACUGACGCUCAUGCACGAAAGCGUGGGGAGCAAACAGGAUUAGAAACCCCAGUAGUCC
rnacentral:rRNA from 1 species